rnacentral:rRNA from 1 species
GGUUAAGCGACUAAGCGUACACGGUGGAUGCCCUGGCAGUCAGAGGCGAUGAAGGACGUGCUAAUCUGCGAUAAGCGCCGGUAAGGUGAUAUGAACCGUUAUAACCGGCGAUUUCCGAAUGGGGAAACCCAGUGUGACUCGUCACACUAUCAUUAACUGAAUCCAUAGGUUAAUGAGGCGAACCGGGGGAACUGAAACAUCUAAGUACCCCGAGGAAAAGAAAUCAACCGAGAUUCCCCCAGUAGCGGCGAGCGAACGGGGAGGAGCCCAGAGCCUGAAUCAGCAUGUGUGUUAGUGGAAGCGUCUGGAAAGGCGCGCGAUACAGGGUGACAGCCCCGUACACAAAAGCGCAUGUGCUGUGAGCUCGAUGAGUAGGGCGGGACACGUGGUAUCCUGUCUGAAUAUGGGGGGACCAUCCUCCAAGGCUAAAUACUCCUGACUGACCGAUAGUGAACCAGUACCGUGAGGGAAAGGCGAAAAGAACCCCGGCGAGGGGAGUGAAAAAGAACCUGAAACCGUGUACGUACAAGCAGUGGGAGCACCCUUUGGGGUGUGACUGCGUACCUUUUGUAUAAUGGGUCAGCGACUUAUAUUCUGUAGCAAGGUUAACCGAAUAGGGGAGCCGGAGGGAAACCGAGUCUUAACCGGGCGUUAAGUUGCAGGGUAUAGACCCGAAACCCGGUGAUCUAGCCAUGGGCAGGUUGAAGGUUGGGUAACACUAACUGGAGGACCGAACCGACUAAUGUUGAAAAAUUAGCGGAUGACCUGUGGCUGGGGGUGAAAGGCCAAUCAAACCGGGAGAUAGCUGGUUCUCCCCGAAAGCUAUUUAGGUAGCGCCUCGUGAAUUCAUCUCCGGGGGUAGAGCACUGUUUCGGCUAGGGGGCCAUCCCGGCUUACCAACCCGAUGCAAACUGCGAAUACCGGAGAAUGUUAUCACGGGAGACACACGGCGGGUGCUAACGUCCGUCGUGAAGAGGGAAACAACCCAGACCGCCAGCUAAGGUCCCAAAGUCAUGGUUAAGUGGGAAACGAUGUGGGAAGGCCCAGACAGCCAGGAUGUUGGCUUAGAAGCAGCCAUCAUUUAAAGAAAGCGUAAUAGCUCACUGGUCGAGUCGGCCUGCGCGGAAGAUGUAACGGGGCUAAACCAUGCACCGAAGCUGCGGCAGCGACGCUGAUGCGUUGUUGGGUAGGGGAGCGUUCUGUAAGCCUGUGAAGGUGGCCUGUGAGGGUUGCUGGAGGUAUCAGAAGUGCGAAUGCUGACAUAAGUAACGAUAAAGCGGGUGAAAAGCCCGCUCGCCGGAAGACCAAGGGUUCCUGUCCAACGUUAAUCGGGGCAGGGUGAGUCGACCCCUAAGGCGAGGCCGAAAGGCGUAGUCGAUGGGAAACGGGUUAAUAUUCCCGUACUUGGUGUUACUGCGAAGGGGGGACGGAGAAGGCUAUGUUGGCCGGGCGACGGUUGUCCCGGUUUAAGCGUGUAGGUGUGUGUUCCAGGUAAAUCCGGUUCACUUUAACACUGAGGCGUGAUGACGAGGCACUACGGUGCUGAAGCAACAAAUGCCCUGCUUCCAGGAAAAGCCUCUAAGCAUCAGGUAACAUCAAAUCGUACCCCAAACCGACACAGGUGGUCAGGUAGAGAAUACCAAGGCGCUUGAGAGAACUCGGGUGAAGGAACUAGGCAAAAUGGUGCCGUAACUUCGGGAGAAGGCACGCUGACACGUAGGUGAAGUGAUUUACUCAUGGAGCUGAAGUCAGUCGAAGAUACCAGCUGGCUGCAACUGUUUAUUAAAAACACAGCACUGUGCAAACACGAAAGUGGACGUAUACGGUGUGACGCCUGCCCGGUGCCGGAAGGUUAAUUGAUGGGGUCAGCGCAAGCGAAGCUCCUGAUCGAAGCCCCGGUAAACGGCGGCCGUAACUAUAACGGUCCUAAGGUAGCGAAAUUCCUUGUCGGGUAAGUUCCGACCUGCACGAAUGGCGUAAUGAUGGCCAGGCUGUCUCCACCCGAGACUCAGUGAAAUUGAACUCGCUGUGAAGAUGCAGUGUACCCGCGGCAAGACGGAAAGACCCCGUGAACCUUUACUAUAGCUUGACACUGAACAUUGAGCCUUGAUGUGUAGGAUAGGUGGGAGGCUUUGAAGUGUGGACGCCAGUCUGCAUGGAGCCGGCCUUGAAAUACCACCCUUUAAUGUUUGAUGUUCUAACGUGGACCCGUGAUCCGGGUUGCGGACAGUGUCUGGUGGGUAGUUUGACUGGGGCGGUCUCCUCCUAAAGAGUAACGGAGGAGCACGAAGGUUGGCUAAUCCUGGUCGGACAUCAGGAGGUUAGUGCAAUGGCAUAAGCCAGCUUGACUGCGAGCGUGACGGCGCGAGCAGGUGCGAAAGCAGGUCAUAGUGAUCCGGUGGUUCUGAAUGGAAGGGCCAUCGCUCAACGGAUAAAAGGUACUCCGGGGAUAACAGGCUGAUACCGCCCAAGAGUUCAUAUCGACGGCGGUGUUUGGCACCUCGAUGUCGGCUCAUCACAUCCUGGGGCUGAAGUAGGUCCCAAGGGUAUGGCUGUUCGCCAUUUAAAGUGGUACGCGAGCUGGGUUUAGAACGUCGUGAGACAGUUCGGUCCCUAUCUGCCGUGGGCGCUGGAGAACUGAGGGGGGCUGCUCCUAGUACGAGAGGACCGGAGUGGACGCAUCACUGGUGUUCGGGUUGUCAUGCCAAUGGCACUGCCCGGUAGCUAAAUGCGGAAGAGAUAAGUGCUGAAAGCAUCUAAGCACGAAACUUGCCCCGAGAUGAGUUCUCCCUGAGACUUAGAGUCUCCUGAAGGAACGUUGAAGACGACGACGUUGAUAGGCCGGGUGUGUAAGCGCAGCGAUGCGUUGAGCUAACCGGUACUAAUGAACCGUGAGGCUUAACCUUAC